UAUAUAUAUAUAUAUAUAUAUAUAUAUAUAUAAAUUUAUAUUUAAAACUUAAAAAGUUUGGCGGUUUUACAUAUCCAGUUAGGGGAGUUUGUUAAUUUGUUUGAUAAUCCUCAUUUUAAACUUACUUUUUUUUGAAUAUAUAGUUAAAUACAGUUUAUAUAUUGCUGUCGUCAGUUUAUCUUUUGAGAAUUAAAGAACUAGAUAAUUUUUAGAUUGUUAUGUCAAGUCAUAAUGUAGCUAAUAGAAAAGGUUUAAUGAACUACUGUGAAUAAUAUUUUAAUUAAUCCGGACAAUGAGAGUUAAAUUUAUGGAAAGGCGGACUUAAUAGUAAAUUAUAANUAGUAUG
rnacentral:rRNA from 1 species